rnacentral:rRNA from 1 species
UACGGAGGGGACUAGCGUUGUUCGGAAUUACUGGGCGUAAAGCGCACGUAGGCGGAUUUGUAAGUCAGGGGUGAAAUCCCGGGGCUCAACCUCGGAACUGCCUUUGAUACUGCAAAUCUCGAGUCCGGAAGAGGUGAGUGGAAUUCCUAGUGUAGAGGUGAAAUUCGUAGAUAUUAGGAAAGAACACCAGUGGCGAAGGCGGCUCACUGGUCCGGUACUGACGCUGAGGUGCGAAAGCGUGGGGAGCAAACAGGG